UUUACAUAUAGCUUCAUAUAGGACUUUACAUAUAGCCUCAUUCAUAUAUAAUAAUAUAACAAUACAAUAACACUCAUAUAAUGCCCUUCAUAGCCUCAAUCAUAAUACAUUCCAUAAGUAGACACCUCCACCAUAAGUGGAUCACACAUCAAUCUAUCAAAAUUCUAUAUCAAUUCUACAUUAACAAUGAAGUUAGGCCAACUUACCCUUUUCCAAAGCCACAAUCAUCAUUCCUCAACUCUCCAAUAAUUCACAAUAGAUAAGCAUAGCUAAUAAUAAAAUCAACUAUUCAACUCCAUUUAAGCAUAAUUCUAUCAUCAUUCAAUCACAAACAAUAAUCCCACUUCAUAUGCCAACUUUAGGAAUUUAGGGAAAACAUGGGUUCAUGGGGAUUUCUUUCUAAAAAUCAUUAAUAAUCAUU
rnacentral:lncRNA from 1 species